AACCGACUGAGCCACUCAGGUGCCCCUGCAUGUGAAAUGAUUUUUAAUGCAAGGUUUUAAAUAUUAAUCAUUUCUUCUGUUCACAAUAAAUUAUAAAUGGAAAAUACCACUUCGAAACUCACAUCUUCUAUAAAAAUUCUUUCAAAACUGUUAUUUUAAAGGUUUAUUGAAAUCUGACUUCGGCUCAGGUCAUGAUCUCACAGCUCGUGAGUUCGAGCCCCGCGUCGGGCUCUUUGCUGACAGCCUCGAGCCUGGAGCCUGCUUCGGAUUCUGUCUCCAUUUCUCUACCCCUCACCCGCUUGUGCACGCGGGCUCUCUCUCUCUCUCUCUCUCUCUCUCUCUCAAAUAUAAAAGAAAACAUUAAAAAAAAUUUAAAAAAAAGUUAAAACAAAAACCCAUCAUAUUGUGAUGAAUGAGUAUCACUUUGAUCAUAUUAGCAUACGUAAACAGCAUUCAAAAUGCUUCUUAAAAGCACCGAUGAAUAAUUCACUCUAUAAAUGCCAGCAGAAAACUAAAAGCUUAAGAGGUCUGGAAGGGAAAGUCAGGAUAUUUCUCUCAGGGACUGCUACAAAAAAAAGAUCAACUUUCAUUUGCAUUCUCUGGAGAUGGGCUUUCUUGCCCUAUUUUGUACGAGGUUAUUUUAACAAACAAGCAAGAAAAUAAACCACAAAGAGCAUCUAUAAAUUUAUGGGAUCUUUCUGAGAACUUUUAAGUGUUUUAUAUAUUAAACUUGUUCUUCAGACAGGCUAAUUAAAAGGCGAGAGAAAAAUAUAAUCCUCUCCUAAGGAUACUGGAUGUAAACUUACUUGAUCCUAAGAACCACAGGGAGGCUUUUAAAAAGGAGAUACUUGGGCUCCAUUCCAGACCCUCUGAGAUGGAAGGUCCAGGGUUGGGUCUAGGAAUGUUUUGUUUUUUUCCUAUCUUUCGUUUUUUUAAAGAAGCUCACCACAAGAUUUCCAGAUAAAGACAGCGGAACAAAAUUCGAUCAGAGAACUAUGCUUUCCCAGUAAGAGGUGAAAGUCACAAGCCAGGACAAUUUUCAACAGCAGAAAGCAAGCCGAUGAAGAAAGGAACGCAACCUCAGUCUACACAGUCUGAAAAGUGGUGACCGUGGCGAGGGACGGAAGAUUCUGGAACGGCGUAGAAUGGAUGCUGACCCCAACCUCACCGCCGCUGCGGGGUGGGGCUGGGGGGUAAGCCCACCAAACCCUGAAGAGCAAUUCUUUUUUUUUUUUUUUUUUUUAAGUUUAUUCAUUUGUUAUUUC